UCUCUUAGUUGGUUAAAGAAUGCAUCGUUUCAUUAUGCAGCUGAGUUCUUGGACAUUGAUGAUUUGGUUCAUUUCAGCAUAGCAUUAUGUUACUUUUUUCUACUUGAUGCUGUUGACCUAUAAUGCAAGGUUUUUGCAGGUUUAAAGUUUAAAGAUUUCAUGGAAUUUGAUUUCUUAGCCUUGAUUUCAAUUAUUAGAAGUUCAGUCAUACCUUGAAGUAUUGCCAGUGUAGUGAAAAUAUUGUUGACCCUAACUCUUUAUUUGUAAUUCACUUUAGCUUUGGAAUUUAUUUUUUUAAAAAAUUAUCUCAAGAAUAUUUCAUACUAAUUAUUUGGAUUGGGCUGUGGAUGGAGGUUUAGUGAAAGCUUGAAAGGGCUGAAAGUAGGGAGAGAGGGGGUGAUGGUUUCGCACCUUCAGUUUGCUAAUGAUACUAUCUUCUUUUUAGAGGACCGUGAGCCUUCUUUUUUGAAAAUUUUGGGUCUUCUCCAUAUUUUUGAGAAUUUUUUUGGGCUUAAGAUUAAUAUGGGGAAGAGUGGUUUUGAGGCGAUUACUAUACCCGUUGAGUGCGUUAGGGAGUUGUCUUCAAAGGUGGGGUGGAGUACGGUGCAUUGGAUUGGCUGUUGUUUUAUUUUGGGGUUCCUUUUGAGGGUAAUCCUAGAUCUAUUGGUGUUUGAGAUCUGGUCGUGCAGAGGGUGUCUAAGUAUUUAGAUGUCUUUUUUCUCUCGGAGGUAGAACAACUCUCAUUUAGGCUUGUCUUUCUAUUAUCCCGUUGUAUUUUUAUUUUUAUUUUUAUAUAUUUUAAAGAUAUUUGUGGAGGUUGCUAACAAGAUUGAGAAAAAUAAUGAGAGAUUUCUUUUGGUCAGGGGUUAGGGGCUUUAGGGAUCAUUUGAUGAGGUGGAAAGUGGUGUUUAGUUCUAAAAAAAUGUCUCUUUUGGCUAAGUGGCUUUGGUGGUUCCUGCUAGAGGAUUCUUCCCCGUGGCAUAGAGUUGUUAAAAGUAAGCAUGGACUAGACAAGAAUGGUGGGAUACUAAUUUGGGAUCUAGAUGUUCUUUGGAAAGCCCUGCCUCUCAUAUUUAUUCCCUCUUUAUUCCCCAUACUAAAUUCUUGUUUUGAUAGGGGUUGUAAUAUCUGUUUUUUGGAAGGAUCUUUGGUUGGGAAAUGUUGUUAUGUCCACUUCUUUUCCUCAUCUCUUAUGUUUGAGCUUAGGGUAGGAUGGUUCCAUUUCUUUCCUUUUUUUUGUUGUUGAUCCAACUGGUCUUUUAGUUUUAUGAGAUUUUCAUUUUCGGAGGUUUUUGAAUGAUAGGGGAUGGACGAGUUUUCUUCUUUUUUAGUCUUGUUGAAUAACUGUGAGGUCUCUUUGGAAGCGGAUAGCAGUGGUCUUUGGAAGUGGGGUAUAUUCUUGCAAAUCUUAUUAUGAAUUUUUGACUAGUUCUGAUUUUUCCUUUUCUCUCUACAAAUAUAUUUGGAAGGCCAAAGUCACCCUUAAAAUCAAGGCUUUUCUCUGGUUGGUUGCACUUAAUAGAAUCAACACCAAUAACUUGUUGCAGAUCAAGAGACCUUUGAAGGCUCUGUCUCCAGAUGCUUGUGUGCUUUCUUUUAACUGUUAGGAAUCUGCAUUGCAACUUUUUUUAUGUGAUGCAGUUGUGCUUGGAAGGUAUGGAAUUAAUUAUUUGGUUUUUUUCAGAGAAAGUUGGGUAUGUCUAGAGACAGUGGAGGAUUUUUUGUCAGUGUAUUUUGUUGUUUUUGGCAGGAAAAAGGCAAGGGCAUUGCUCUGGAAAUGUGCUUUCUUUGCAAUAUUUUGGGUUCUAUGGAUGGAACACAAUGUGUUUUUUUCAAGGAAGAAGUUGCUGUAUUUGCUGGUUUGGAAGAGGAUUCAUUAUAUGGCUUUUCUUUGGUGUGUAGGUCAUGGGAAUUUUAAGGGGGCAGGAUGUUCACUUCCUUGAUUGGUAUCUUCAGAAGCCCAAUACAAACCAUGCAUAAAGAAUUAGAAGUUCUGGAAUCUCCCUCGUGAAGCUCUCAAUAUAUGCCCGAGUGCUUAAUUGCUUGAUCCUAUUCAAGUGGUCGCAACCACGGAGUCACUCUCAACUAUAAAUUCCUCAAGUAUAAUAGCUUGGUCAUCAUGCAUAUCUUUCAUUAAGCGGUCCUAUGAAACCCCAAGGCUUUACCUAUUUUACCAUCUGGUAAAUGGUAAGUUUGUAAAUGCAUCAAAUCUUUUAAGAAUUGUGCAAUUGUCAAUUGAGCUGAAAUGCUUUUUUCUUUUUGCUAAUAAAAAAAAGUAUGUUAGAUAUGGAAAAAAGAAGGUACAACAUGCACUUGUACAGGGACAAGGAGUCCACAAAAGGGGAAAAAAAAAAGAAGUUCACAACAUAAAACUAGACAAAA